AGAGUUGAUCCUGGCGUCAGGAUUAACGCUGGCGGCGUGCCUAAUACAUGCAAGUCGAAUGGUAGCAAUACCAUGGCGAACGGGUGAGUAACACGUAGGGUAACCUGUCUUUAAGCCGAGGAUAACCAUUGGAACGAAUGGAUAAUACUGGAUAGGACAUUUGAAGGCAUCUUUAGAUGUUUAAAGAUUUAUCACUUAGAGAGGGGCCUGCGGCGCAUUAGCUAGUUGGUGAGGUGAAGGCUUACCAAGGCGAUGAUGCGUAGCCGGACUGAGAGGUUGAACGGCCACAAUGGAACUGAGAACGGUCCAUACUCCUACGGGAGGCAGCAGUAGGGAAUUUUCGGCAAUGGGCGGAAGCCUGACCGAGCAACGCCGCGUGAACGAAGAAGUAUUUCGGUAUGUAAAGUUCCUUUAUUAGGGACGAAAAGACAGAUUGACGGUACCUAAUGAAUAAGCUCCGGCUAACUACGUGCCAGCAGCGGC
rnacentral:rRNA from 1 species